AGAGUUUGAUCAUGGCUCAGAACGAACGCUGGCGGCGUGUUUAAGACAUGCAAGUCGCACGGGGCUUUUUUGAGUAGCAAUACAAUAAAAAGUUCAGUGGCGCACGGGUGAGUAACACAUGAAUGACAUGCCCUGUAGCGGGGAAUAGCCCAGGGAAACUUGGAUUAAUACCCCAUGGUAUCUUGCCGUCAUAGGCAAGAUUAAAGGUGGCCAGCAAUGGCUGUCGCUACAGGAUUGGUUCGCGUCCUAUCAGCUUGUUGGCGGGGUAACGGCCCACCAAGGCUACGACGGGUACCUGGUCUGAGAGGACGAUCAGGCACACUGGAACUGAGACACGGUCCAGACACCUACGGGUGGCAGCAGUCGAGAAUAAUUCACAAUGGGGGCAACCCUGAUGGUGCAACGCCGCGUGGAGGAUGACGGUCUUCGGAUUGUAAACUCCUGUCAUCCGGGAGUAAGACCUGGCGGUAAAUAGCCGACAGGGGUUGAUAGUACCGGAAGAGGAAGGGACGGCUAACUUCGUGCCAGCAGCCGCGGUA
rnacentral:rRNA from 1 species